UACAGAGGUCUCAAGCGUUGUUCGGAUUCAUUGGGCGUAAAGGGCUCGUAGGCGGUUUGUCGCGUCGGGAGUGAAAACCUUGGGCUUAACUCAGGGCUUGCUUUCGAUACGGGCAGACUGGAGUACUGCAGGGGAGACUGGAAUUCCUGGUGUAGCGGUGGAAUGCGCAGAUAUCAGGAGGAACACCGGUGGCGAAGGCGGGUCUCUGGGCAGUAACUGACGCUGAGGAGCGAAAGCGUGGGGAGCGAACAGG
rnacentral:rRNA from 1 species